UUUGCUUCAGCUAUACAGAUUGGAGACCCGGUUUCUAUAGAUAGAGCUGUUUAUGCUUUGAAGAAUUCGAAUGGGAUUGUUGAGGAAGCCACAGAGGAGGAGUUGAUGGAUGCAAUGGCACAAGCUGAUUCUACUGGGAUGUUUAUAUGCCCUCAUACUGGGGUUGCACUGACAGCCUUGAUUAAGCUAAGGAAUAGUGGGGUUGUAGGGCCUAUGGAUAGGACAGUAGUGGUGAGCACAGCUCAUGGGUUGAAAUUUACUCAGUCUAAGGUUGAUUACCACUCCAAAGCAAUACCAGAUAUGGCUUGCACGUUUGCUAACCCGCCUGUGCAAGUUAAGGCAGAUUUUGGGGCCGUCAUGGAUGUUUUGAAGAAGUAUUUGGGUGACAAGGCUCCUAAAUAAUCUGUUUGGUGGCAUU
rnacentral:misc_RNA from 1 species